rnacentral:rRNA from 1 species
CCUACGGGAGGCAGCAGUGAGGAAUAUUGGUCAAUGGUCGGGAGACUGAACCAGCCAAGCCGCGUGAGGGAUGAAGGUACAGAGUAUCGUAAACCUCUUUUGUCAGGGAACAAAGGCGGGGACGUGUCCCCGGAUGAGUGUACCUGAAGAAAAAGCAUCGGCUAACUCCGUGCCAGCAGCCGCGGUAAUACGGAGGAUGCGAGCGUUAUCCGGAUUUAUUGGGUUUAAAGGGUGCGCAGGCGGUCUCUUAAGUCAGCCGUCAAAGCCCGGGGCUCAACCCCGGCCCUGCCGUUGAAACUGGCAGUCUUGAGUUGGAGAGAAGUAUGCGGAAUGCGCGGUGUAGCGGUGAAAUGCAUAGAUAUCGCGAAGAACUCCGAUUGCGAAGGCAGCAUGCCGGCUCCACACUGACGCUGAGGCACGAAAGCGUGGGUAUCGAACAGGAUUAGAUACCCUUGUAGUC